UUAUAUUAUGUUUAAUGAAAACUAAUAUUCUAAAUUAUUCAGAAACUGGUUUUAAAGAACUUAUCUAAACUUAAAAGAAUCAAGUCAUUAUAUGAAUCUCUUAACAUUUGCUAAAAAGAUAAAUAGCGUGGCGUCAUCAUAAAAUCUAAAUAAUGUAAAUAAUUAAAGUAAUAAUUAUUUCACAUCUCUAUCUAAGUAAUUCAAGUUAAGUCUUUUAAAUGUUAAAUUAAAUAAAAUGUUUAAAUAGAGUUGCAGUCGUAACGUAUUGUUAUGUUAAGUCUAGUUUGCAUUUAAAAGAAUGAUUUCAAUCUUCAGCUAAGGAAGUGUUUCGGUUAUUAAAAUGUACAUAUGUAAUUAUUGUUUUUAUGUGUUUAAAAAGGACAAGUUAUUUGUCUUGUUUUAGCAUAGUUAGUUUUCUUACUUUAUUCAAUGUAUUUUGCUAAUGAAAGUAUCAGUGCGCUGCUGCAAGGUAUAGUUAGGUUUUUAGGCAGUUCAAUUAUAGAGUUAUCUCCCAUGCGAAAACAGCGUUUUCAGUCAAAUCAGAUAUUCAGUCAACAUGGGUUUCUCUUUAUUAAGUUCUUAUGUCAUGUAUGUCAUAGACUCUGAAGUCAACCAGUCAGAGGUUAUCAUACGUCAGAAUCAUCAACCAGUCAGAGGUUAUCAUUCAGUAUAUUGGUCAGACACAAAUUGGUCGCAUACAUUACAACUGCACAGUCACAAGUAGUUCACACAGCAAUUCCACACAACAAACAAAACACGCCAAGUAACAAGCUCACAC